rnacentral:tRNA from 1 species
AAGACUUUAAGUUAAGUAAACUAAAAACCUUCAAAGUUUUAAUUGGGUGUCCCAAGUCUUG